AUAUAUAGAGUCAACAUGAAGCUUAGCAAGAAUGAAUUAUUCAGGGCUGGGCGCGGUGGCUCACUCAUUGACAAUUUUUACCAUUACCUUCCUCUUCUCCUUAGCCCUUAACAGACCAAGUCCAUUCUAUUUGGAAAUAACAAGAACUUGAUCCAAUUAUUAAAUCUUGGAAACCAUCUCAUUUUUACCUUAUAAAGUGUUAAGUUUCAUGUUCAUAUUCUCUUACAAACAUAGCAUAAAUGUUAUGGGUAGAUAUAAGGAAAUAUUGGCAUAGUAUAGGUAAUUAGUGAAAAGACACAACUUCACAAAACAUAAUAAAAGAUGAACAUGAAACUAUAACACUACUUUAAAAAUAUUUUCUCCCAAAUUAUUUUAGCAUUUUUGACUAGUUUGAGAAUAUGAACACUGCCAAAAAAUAAGUUCGAAGUAGCCUAGAGAAACAGUUUCUUCUUCUGGAGUCCAUCUUGGCAGUGGCGAUUUUCUCCCACACUCAUUCCCAAGUUAGGCGGAUGUGUAGAAGUACCUGGGCUUGGUAUUGCCC
rnacentral:lncRNA from 10 species